GGGAAUAUUGGACAAUGGGCGAAAGCCUGAUCCAGCAAUGCCGCGUGAGUGAUGAAGGCCUUAGGGUUGUAAAGCUCUUUUACCCGGGAUGAUAAUGACAGUACCGGGAGAAUAAGCUCCGGCUAACUCCGUGCCAGCAGCCGCGGUAAUACGGAGGGAGCUAGCGUUAUUCGGAAUUACUGGGCGUAAAGCGCACGUAGGCGGCUUUGUAAGUUAGAGGUGAAAGCCUGGAGCUCAACUCCAGAAUUGCCUUUAAGACUGCAUCGCUUGAAUCCAGGAGAGGUGAGUGGAAUUCCGAGUGUAGAGGUGAAAUUCGUAGAUAUUCGGAAGAACACCAGUGGCGAAGGCGGCUCACUGGACUGGUAUUGACGCUGAGGUGCGAAAGCGUGGGGAGCAAA
rnacentral:rRNA from 1 species